UGUAAAGGUGUAGCACACUUAUGGUAGAGUUGUGUCCUGUAAUGCCAAUUAAAGUAUCAUUUUCACUAUUUUUCAGUGUCUUUCUUCUUCAACAUUUGCAAUACUGAUUAAUGGUCUGUAAGAUUCAGUUGAUAAAUUUCAUUUUGGAGCAACUGAGAAAUGGAGAAUUUUACACAAUGCAAGCAAAAGCAAAGAACAACAUAUUCAAAACCAGGAAACCAGAUGAAUCUUUUCAGGAUCUCAUAGCAGUACGUGGCUGAACUAGGAAAUGAAGCUAAGGACGCCUGAUUCCAAGUGCAUCCUCUCUACUGAACCACAAUGUCUCAAAACAAAUACAGUGGAAGAGAGGGAACUCGGCAUAUUGUUAAAAAAAUAAUGCCAUUGUCCAUUACAUUGAUGGGUGAUUAAAAUGGUAUUUCCUUUGGUGGCAUCAUAACUCACCAAUGACAAAGCAAAAAACACUUUCAUGGUAAUAGUGUCAUAAUCUUUUAAUAAAUGUAGGGAUCUUUUGUCA
rnacentral:lncRNA from 1 species